AAGUCGUAACAAGGUUUCUCUUGCAGAACAACACCUGUAGAAGCCUUGGAUACAAGUCUGCCUACGUAGGCAACAUCUUCACUGUGCUUGGAUACCGUCAGGGUAACAUGCAGCUGCUUACAGCAGUCCACAGAUCAAACGAAGGUGGUCCAAGGGAGGUCCAACCUGUCUUGGAUUUAGAUAUGACCGGCCUACCUCUGAAAAGGUUGUAGACCAGAGUGUUCCGUAGGUGAACCUGCGGAAGGAUCAUUACAGAGAAAUUGCCCUUCGGGGUAGAUCUCCCACCCUUUGUUUACAUUA
rnacentral:misc_RNA from 1 species